ensembl:lncRNA
GAAUAUGACUUUGUAGAGUAAGGAAUAACUCAAAAGUUGUUUUUGGACUGUUGAACAUCUUUAUGAGCCGGUUUGUCCACUGGUGUUAAGCCACCAGCGUGGGUAAGGUUCGGUGACGAGGUGUAGCCUUCGGGGACCGCAUCUACUGUGGCAGAAGACAUGAAGUCCGAGAAACGUCUCAAAGACACGUCGAAUACGCCGAGUCGCUGAGCGGGACCGUUGGAUUUUGUUAAUUAGAGCGAUGGAGAAGAGCUACGCAGAACUACAGGCUGCAGGUAGUAGAGGUCGAGAUGACAUCUGAGAUUUUGCUGUCCAUUGGACCCACAUAAGGUGCGAUGGAGAUCUCGUGGAUUGUGACUCAGAAAUAAAUGGCACAAUGUUUGGAUUCUUCAGGCUGAAGACGUCAAGGAUAUUCAGCUGAGCUCAAAGGUGACUGCGCUCUCUCCUUUCAAGCGUCAAAAUAUCUGCCAUCUUGUUAUACGGGCUAUAUUUUAUGAUUCCUGCGCUAUGGAUCAGCGGUCUUUGCCUCCUUUUUCUCAGUGAAUUCUCUAUGAACGGGUUUGUAUAUUUGAGUGACAUUGCCUCUGACAAAUGAUGAAGGAUGGAAGGAGACACAGGGAGACAUUCUCAGCUAAUGAAAUUGUCUGACCCACAUCUUUUAGUGCUAUCCAUUUCUCCAAAGACACAGAAAGGGCAUUUAUGCAGGUAAACCAUGACUGGUCCCUGAAGUGAAAGAGGGUUGUUUCUGAAGGAAGAGUAGCAUCCAUUAUUUACUAUACCAGGGUUGCUAGACACUUAGGGGGUAAUGCAGUGUUUCAAGCAUACAAAACAGAACCUUUUUGGUGCUGGUGAGGAUAUUGUUGUGUGUUUGGAACAUGUCUGUUUCCAUCCAUACUGACAGAUGAAAAAGAAUAUGUCUCCCGAAGGUUCAGAAGCAUGGGCGGAGAUAUAAAGAGCGAGUAGGGGAGGGACAGAAAUGAUGGUGGAGGGAUGUGUUUGUGUUUGUGUCUGUGUCAGUCAUCACUGCAAGCGGGCAUUUUUCGUAUUAACGUCCGUAUAUUUAUCUUUGACUGUUUUUGUGCACCAAGUCUGUUUGUUUGCAUACCUUUGUGUCCAAAGUCACCCCAGUCCUAGAUUAUAUAAUGCAAGUAGUCCUACACGUGUUUACACAUGUAUGUGUAUUAAUCAGGUUUCUCCUCAACUGAGUCUGUGUCACCUGCCUCUUGGUGCCAGUUGUGAUACUUUGGUUUAGUCGUACUCUCUGCAGAUCGGCAGCAGCAGCAGCAGUCCCCUCCUCAUGGAGAGUGGAAGCAUCUGACUAGAGUCCACUGGGAGUAGUUAGCAGAAGAAGUGCAAGACAUUCAACUAUUCCACCCUGUUAUCAGACUUGCGCACCACAAGGCACCACUUGUCAAUUUUCCAGGGGACACCUUGACAUCAAAUCCUCUAUUUUUAUCGGAGGUUGCAUGACAACUAUCCAUGUUUGUAGAUCUGGUCUGGGAAAACCGGGGCCUACUCAAAUUGACCAAUGCGGUGCGAUUUGAAUGACAAAAUAUAUUUUUACAAUUGCAUCAUGUCUUGAAAAUGAUUAGAUUUAAGUAGUAUUCUUAUUUUCAUUUGUUGCUAUUGUUCUUUGAGUGGCAAAUACAUAUCCAUUAAUCUUCACCAGUCUCACUGCAAAAGCGCCAGAACAAUGCCCCUACAAAACACAGAUUGUGCGGAGCAAUACAAAAAUUGAUGAUCAAAACAUUUCAACCACCAAACAACAACAACCACUUCGGAUCAGUCAAAUUGGGUCCAUUUGGCAAUCAAAAGGAGAGCAGUUAACCUUAUAAGAAAAACAUAUUCCAGUGCCCUGUGGGCCUGCUAUAAAGCAACAUCUAGAAAUAUCUCAACACGUCUACCUCUGCAGUCGAUUUUUUCAAUAGAAGAACCGCCCCAAGUUGUAAGAGGCGACUAUAUUUUUUCUUCACACCCAUUAUCCUGUUUUGAAAGGUCGGCUAAGACAGAAGACUUGCAUACCGGUCCAUUUUUGAGUUAAAGAAAAAUGUAAAGCGCCUGAGAGGCAAAAUAAUUAUUUUACAUGUAAUAUAGAAGAAAAUACAUCUGCAGCUGAUGUUUUUGUGUAGUAUUUUUUGCACUGGUUUUGUGCAGCAUUGUUGCCGCUAUUUUUAAUUUUUUAAUUCAACUUAAAAACAAGUUUAACUCUAAUUAUCCUGUUCAACAAGCAAAUGCUUUGUUUGAUGAAACCCAAGAAUAAAAGGCACUGAGAAUUAUCAGCAAAGCCGUGAAACACACACACACAAUAUAUGCACAGCCCCAUGCUUUGCACAACUGCUGUAUCAGCAGAGAAGAUGAGGAGGAUGCCAAGAGACGCACAUGCAGCUUUGACGAGGAUCAGCUGCCACAGAUAGGCAGGCAGGCCAAGAAGGCAGCGUGUGCCCUUGAGGUGCUGUGUGCAGGCAGGGUGGUUUGCUUGGCUUGUCUGAAUCCACCUCCUUCAUCUUUUGCACUUGGGUUGAGUUGGGUGUUGAUGUCCCAGGGACCCCCUGCCAACCCUGUAAUGUUUUAUACUGGCAGCCAAACAUCAGAGAAUUUUUUUGAAGGAGACAAUGUGGCCAAAAAAAAAGUACCUUUGUAUUUUUUUUUUAAUCUGUGGAAAACACUGAGGGGAGUUGCUGACUUAUAGCAACUUUGCAGAGAUUUCAACUGUCCGACCGGAUAAAUCAGCAAAUUAAUUUAGAAUAAAUCCUGGAUCCUAAAGUAUGUUGUUGGUUUUCUUUUGCUGUGUUGAGAAGAUAACAACCCCAUUGAAGAUUUUACUGAGGCAGUCGGACAUCCUUGCUGUCUUAAAUGACAACAGCUGUUCUGUGCAGCCUACACAUUCAUGUCGGACCCCGGAAUACCUUUCAUGCUUGUCAACAAGCUUUAUAGUUUCCGAGAAAUGCAAUACGAUAAUGCCUUUCUGGGGGAAGGAGUGUCAGGUAUGGCAGGAGUAAUGGAGAAAGGGCUUGAAGUGCAGGUAACCCAGGUUAGGCCGGGUGUAAAGGGGAUCCGAUAAGGCGUUCCCCAGACCCUACAGGCUCCCAGUCUCUACGCGAGAAUAAUAAGCAGCUGUAACCCUGAGACACUCCCAGGCCUGUGUCCUCAGCUACAAAAAACUUUCACCGUGCGUCUUAUCAGGUUCUAAGGAUAUCACGUAAGACAAUACAUGUGAGAAGUGCAGCGCGAACAAUGGAAGGAAAGUGCAGCGUGAUACGAGGGGGACUAAUGUCAGCGACUAUUGUUGAGGCCUUUGUCAGCGUCAAGUACACACCGGGAACUCACAGCUCACUGAACUCCUUUCAGUCAAGGAUCUUGCUUUAAGAUGUGAUAAAACACGACAAGUGUGCCGUCCCACAGUGAAGGCAGAUUUUACACACAUAAGUUAUGUGUUUCUGUCACAGAAAACAUGCCGCCAACAGGUAGUUGUAAGAUCUCCUCUGGCUGGGAAAAAGGAUUUAGUUUCACUUGUUGUUUCUACAAGAGAAGUUGCUGUAGAAGUUGUUGUGUUACACAGUAUGUGGUCAAGUUUCCCCAACGUUACCUCAUGGACCUUUGAUGUGAUAAUAUGUAAUAAAAAGGAAAUGUUAACAAAGCUCAUCAUGAAAUGUCUUUACAGUUUUUUCAUUAUUGUCUCUCUUUCUCUCGUUAGGUAAACAAGUCAUCCUGAUCAACAAGAGUUUUCAUCGGAAUAGGAGCAUCAAGACACUUAACAUUACUCUGCAACCCUUGAACCUGCACUGUACUUUCCAUUGCUGUUUUUCUGUCAAUUGGUUGCAUACUCCUGCACUACUGGUCAAACAGACUAAUCCUGUGACCAUGCACUAACUGUAACAACCAAUUGUGUUUUAUAUUUUGUUAUUCUAAAUGGGAGAAUACUUAGAAUAAAAAUAUUUCUCACGUUCAAACCCAUUUUCUUUUCAUGUAAUUAUUUGAGUCUAAAAAGUAUAUAUUUUUGGCAGCUUAAUAAAAGCCUUUUCUUCUUUUAACUGAUGUUUUAGUGUGAGUUAUUUCUCUCCUUUCUGUGUAGUGGGUGUGCACUCCAAGUAAAAAACAAUGUGCUUGACAUAAUUGGGUCCUAUUUGGCUAUGAAAAGAGCACGCGUGCUGAUAAAAGCUGGAAGGGUGAUCAAAGCACAAUGCGUCCCGAUCGACAUCAUACGCAUGACAUGGUUGUAGUUUAUCCUGACAGAUUAAUGAAACGUGAGGAAACAGGGGAAACAGGUUCAGACAGUUUCCAAGAAGCCUUCCUGUUCAUAAUCAGCUCCUUUUUAUAUUUUGUGCACGUCCUCUGACUAACAAAUAAAAUGUGCCUGUGUGUGCAUAACAUGGAACAAUUAAAAAACUGCAAUGAUUGGAUGCAUAUUCUCUGCACCUCCUUGUGUUGCCAUUUCCUCUCUGUCAGGUUUAAGUUUGAUCAAAGAAAAGUAGGACAAUUUCUGUGUAGUAUUCAUGGCAAAGUUUUCCUUAAAAAAAUGUAAACUGUAAGACGAAUAAAAAGUAGGAUCCUUUGGGACAGCAGCCUCAUUUGUCUCCCUUUUCUAUCUUUCAUUAGACUCAUCUUUU